UAGCGUCCACCAAAAAAAAAGAAAAAACCCGAAGCAUCCCACCCCGGCCUUUACAUAGAAACCCUAAGCUAGGUCCGGCGGCGGCGGCGGCGGCGGUCAGUUGUUAGCCAAAAAAGACUGCGAUGGCGGAUGGCGGCGAGGAAGAAGUAGUGCCCACGGGCCAGAUGCCCCGUGUUUCAGCAUCGCGGUCGCGGAGAUCUUAUCGGGGCGAGAUAAUUAAAGAAGAACCCAGAUCAUCUAGGUUGUUGGCCGAGGGUUGGGAAGAAGAACACAGAUCAUCUAGGUUGUUGGCAGAGGGUGGGGAAGAUGAACCCAGAUCAUCUAGGUUGUUGGCAGAGGGUGGGGAAGAUGAGGCUGUGGGUGGUUGGGGUGGCGAGGCAGAGGCUGGGGAUGAGCCUGAGGUGGCUGGGGAGGAACCUGAUGAGGCUGAGGCUUGGGAGGAGCCUGAUGAUGCUGGGCCUGGGGAGGAUCCUGAUGAGGAUGAGCCUGAUGAUGCUGGGCAGGCUGGGGAUGAGCCUCCGGCUGGGGAUGGUUGGGGUGCGGGGGAGGAGGAUUUGCAGCCCGUGCAGCAGAUCCAGAUGAUUUCCCUUCAGGUGAAUGCGAUGACAUCGUUCUUGAUGAAGAGCAACAUGACGGGGGAAUCGUCUUCCAUGGUUAUAGAUGACUUUGUGAAGAAAUACUGUGACCUAGUUGCGGAGCGAAAGGCGCGGGACAAGCUGAAGCUGAUCCCUUUCCAAGAUCCUGGGGAGUACAUGUACGAGUACUACAGGCAUUGUCCGCAUCAGGAGGAGAAGGAAAAGGAGCUGACAAGAUCUGCAAAGGAGAUAGAAACGGAGGAGAUAACCUAUGCUAAGUACCGUAUGAGCAAAAAGUGUUUGUUCGCUAGCGGUGUCUUCGACACCAUAACCCAAUGUACUUUACACACAAUACACCAGGAAUAGAAAUUGAAGACGACCUUGUUGCUACCACCGGGGCCAGCUUGCAGAUCUUCUCUUUCAAAAUCGCGGAGAUCAAAGGCGACUUAGAAUGGCCGCUCCAUGUGUACGGCGUGGUCGCUGCCAGGGAUGAAGUUGAUUAUAACCGCAACCUUCUCUUCAACCGAACAAGGAAUCACGCCCAACUAGUCACACAAGAUGAUCCUUUUUUGCGCUUGACCGGCCCAUCACGGGCAAUUUUGCCUGAGCUUUUGUGUUUGAAGUCGAAUUAAGGGUUAAGGGCAGAACAAAGUCUCGUGACAGAGCAUUGAUUAACAGGGUAUACCGUUACAUCCAUCACAGUAAUGGUCUCUUCACUAUUCCCUUUCGCAACUGCCUUUGCAGAUGCGAGUUAAGCCUGGAGCAACUUGGGAAGUCAGUUCAGGCGACCAUCUUGGGUGUCCGCAUCGUUAAGGGCGCAUUCAAAUAUGGGGGCCGAGUCGUUUUCUGCUCGCCGUCUCAUGAAGCUGCCCUUGUGGAUAGUAAUGGCACUAUUCAGGAGGUUAUUGACCCCCUGUACACGCAAGUCGUGUUGCUUGAUUCUAGUCACCGUGAUGGUGGAGAAUCAAUGCCAAUGGGUACUGAUGGUUACAUUGAUCUAACAAGGAGAGUCGUUAGUGUGGAAUUGCGAGAAAGCCACAUUUUUUUUCCACAAAGAUUGGAAGAGACUUUCAAAGUUGUCAUACAAUCCUACUCAAAGUCAUUUGAUGUUGCUUCACAAGGUCAUGUCAAACUCACCCCCAAACUUUGCAACAUCAGUCAAACUGUUUGUGACCUUGGUGACUCCAAGGUGGAGAUUACCGUUGCUUGGUCGGUCCAUGUUGCAGAGAAGCUAUUUCUUUGAGGUGUGAUCCUUAUGUACUAUGCGUGAUAUACAUCUGUUUUACCCCCUUAGGGAACGUAUCAGGUGAAAAUGGCCUUUCGGUAAAAAUCUGCAAAUUUCCUUCGUC